ensembl:lncRNA
GGUUGUAAAUGUUGUGUCAUAUUUCGCACUCAUUAGCCUCCCUCCCUUUGGAGUCUCAUAAACAUCACACUGUCCAUUCAUGUGUUCAGGAAAUUCUUUUUACUAUCCUUUCUGUGCCAAGCACUGGUCUGGAAAGCUGGCUGGGGCAAGAAUUGAGGCAUAAAGGAAGACUGGAAGAGAGGCCAUUUUCGGGGAGCAAGAGGUGGCUCCUAGCACAGAUCUGGACUCUAAUCUGUCUGCCUCCUGCCUAGCUUCAAAAUCCCAUUGCUUCCCAUUGCUUCCAAGAAAAAAAAUCACACCUCUUAACCUGGUGUGCAAGGCCCUCUGCAGGUGGGUAUCAACUGAACUUUCAAACCUCACCUCCUCCUACUUCUGUGCACUUUAGCCAAAGUGAUAUUCCCAUAUAAUGCCAUUAAUUGGAUGUUCUUCAAUAUUGUUCCUUAAAUGAUUGGUCUCUAGAGUGCUCUGCGAUCUUGGAGCUAGCUGAGACUACUCCCUUUGAAGCUGUGGGAGUCUGGUCCCCUGGGCCCUGCUCCCUGAGGCCUUCCUCAUCAGCAAGUUGAGUUGGAAAUUGUGUAGCCCUGCCUCCUGGGCCCUCUGGAGUUGUGCAUGAGUAGCCAAGGACAAAAGCCAUGGUGUUGCUGGAUAUUGAUUCAACCAUAUUGCCAGAAAUAAUGGUUAGGCCCGGGAAUGGAUGCAAAUUUGCCCCAACAACCUGGGCCGUGUUGCCAGGCCAUCAGGGUGUGACACAACUUCUCUCACCUUCAUGCCACACCUGGAAUUCCUGGCUCAUCACAAUGCACCUCACAGGGGAGCCUGUCCUCAACCUGUGUCAGAGAAUGAACUCUGUUGAGUCCUGCAGUACGGCCUGGGCAAGAUGCUGCUUGGGAAGGACCGGAAUCUUGGGACCUAACAUCUGGCAUGGCCAGCCAUGUCUCUGCUCUUUGAUUUGCACCUGUCUCACCUCAAGCCCCUCCAGUAGGUAAGAAAUUUAGCUUGCAUUUUCCCAGAACGUUUUACUCCAACAGACCUGCCUCUCCUUUCUGGAAGACGUCUUUGCUUGAAAAUUUUGGACCAGAGAUGAGCACUCACACUCACCUCCCAGGCAGAUUCCAGAGCCAAGUUUCCAGCUGCCCGUACCAAGUCCUUCUCAUCCUGAAGCUAUUACAAUCUCCUUACCACACCCCUGGACACCAUGACAGCUCUGCAGUGUGACAGGUUCCACCUCUGACUCUGUGGGCCUAGAUGUGAUUCAGGCACAGCAGGACCUUGCAUCAAAAUUUGGAGAUCCACGAUGGUAGCCUCUCCCACUUUUCUCAUGUCACCCAUGCUCCUUCGUUUUUCACCCAUGAUGUAACGCAAAGAGUAGGUAGAUGAGAGCCCAAAGGAUUCUGCUUUGUUAUUUUCUCAGCCAUUGAAAGUGACUCACAGCCCACGCUAACGAUGAUUCUUUUGCCUGAGUUGACUGGAGCUGGGGCUUGGGAUUUAUUCUGCACCCUUAGCUGUGUCCAACUUGGCCAUCAUCGCCCGGAGGUGAACACAUAUGAGCACAGGAGGUACCAAGCGUCUUCAGAUAGAUCGUAAAGUCUUUGGUGAGAAACCUAAACUUCAGAGGUGGGGAUGGAAGAAAAUCAGGCACCAGACAUUCUGCCCACCCCUAAUCCUGGUCUAGCAAUCUUAUGACCUUGUAUCAUCCAAGAGUGUUGCCAUCUUGGCUCAGACCUUUGGGAUGACCCAAGUAGAUGUCCCCUAGGCCAGCUUGUGGCACUCUCUCUGCUUUACUAGCUAUGUCUUUCCUUCCCACACAAUUUUUCUGCCCUAUUAACUCCUCUUUCCCGAAGUCCCCUUCUCCUCCUCCGCUCCCCACCCCCAGCCUCCACCAGAAUUUGAGAUGUUUCAAGUUUGUUUCACUGUCUUGUGAGCUUUCACCGCCUCUGGAUACAGUCGUGAGCCAGUCACGCCAUCCAUUCUGCUGCUUGGUGGAAUGAAGGUGUGGUGGUGGUGAUUUUCUGCUCUCAUUGAGUCAUCUUUUCCUGUUAUUUGCUUUAAGUUCUUAAAACCAAUCACCCACAUCUCCAACUGCAAGGAGUGAUGGCUGUCACAAGUCCUCAUCAG